GAUGAACGCUGGCGGCGUGCCUAAUACAUGCAAGUCGAGCGAAUGGAUUAAGAGCUUGCUCCUAUGAAGUUAGCGGCGGACGGGUGAGUAACACGUGGGUAACCUGCCCAUAAGACUGGGAUAACUCCGGGAAACCGGGGCUAAUACCGGAUAAUAUUUUGAACUGCAUGGUUCAGAAUUGAAAGGCGGCUUCGGCUGUCACUUAUGGAUGGACCCGCGUCGCAUUAGCUAGUUGGUGAGGUAACGGCUCACCAAGGCAACGAUGCGUAGCCGACCUGAGAGGGUGAUCGGCCACACUGGGACUGAGACACGGCCCAGACUCCUACGGGAGGCAGCAGUAGGGAAUCUUCCGCAAUGGACGAAAGUCUGACGGAGCAACGCCGCGUGAGUGAUGAAGGCUUUCGGGUCGUAAAACUCUGUUGUUAGGGAAGAACAAGUGCUAGUUGAAUAAGCUGGCACCUUGACGGUACCUAACCAGAAAGCCACGGCUAACUACGUGCCAGCCGCCGCGGUAA
rnacentral:rRNA from 1 species